GCUUGGCUCACCGCUUACUGUUUCCUGCUGGCCUGCUCUAAAUUUGGAGCUGUUUGACAGGAAUGGACCAAAUGCUGUCAGUAUUCUCAUUAGUAAAUUUGCAGUCGCUCAGUGAUGGAGUGCAGUGCCUUUGGAGGGGCUUUGGACAGUGAGUCCUGCUUGCUGCACAGGAUCAUAAGGAAGAGCAGCUCCUCUCUGAAGAAAAGUACACAGAAAGGAAGUGAAGAGCUCCGGUCCUGGGCUUCUGAUGCAGAAUCAAGGAGAAAUAGUGAAAAUAUUGGAAAUGGAGAAUGGCAACAAGUUAGAUCACAUUCUAGUCUUGCGUGGAAGUGUGAAACUGCUGCAAAACACCUGGCUCUCACAGCUCCGUUGACUCCAAUGAGAUGCAUGCAGCUGAGUUGGUAUGAACUCAUCAGGCGGACGGGGAGCAGAGCAGAUCUUUAUGAAUUGAAGCACAUCGAGCGAUAACUGAAAUGCCU
ensembl:lncRNA